UACGGGGGGGGCAAGCGUUGUUCGGAAUUACUGGGCGUAAAGGGCGCGUAGGCGGCCUUCUAAGUCGGACGUGAAAUCCCUCGGCUUAACCGAGGAACUGCGUCCGAUACUGAAAGGCUUGAAUCCGGGAGAGGGAUGUGGAAUUCCCAGUGUAGCGGUGAAAUGCGUAGAUAUUGGGAGGAACACCAGUGGCGAAGGCGGCUCACUGGACCGGAACUGACGCUGAGGCGCGAAAGCGUGGGGAGCAAACGGG
rnacentral:rRNA from 1 species